CCAGCCGGCCGGACGGCCGCCGCUUCGCGCGGAGGAAAGUCCGGGCUCCACGGAGACACGGCGCCGGAUAACGUCCGGCGGGGGUGACCCCAGGGACAGCGCCACAGAGAGAAAACCGCCCCGCAUGCGGGGUAAGGGUGAAAGGGUGCGGUAAGAGCGCACCGCGGUGCCGGCAACGGCAACGGCAUGGCAAGCCCCGCCGGGAGCAAGACCGAAUAGGGGUGGUGGAGCCCGCAAGGGCUCGGGCCUGUCUUCCGGCCCUGCCACCCGGGUUGGUUGCUCGAGACGGUCGGCAACGACCGCCCCAGAGGAAUGGCCGUCACGUCCGUCUGCCUGCAAGGGUGGGCGGGCCCUACAGAACCCGGCUUACAGGCCGGCUGGCUCC
rnacentral:RNase_P_RNA from 3 species